AGUCUUCGACAGUUGUCGAGGUGCUGCAUGGUUGUCGUCAGCUCGUGCCGUGAGGUGUCGGCUUAAGUGCCAUAACGAGCGCAAACCCUUGUCGUCAGUUGCCAUCAGGUUAUGCUGGGAACUCUGGCGAGACUGCCACCGCAAGGUGUGAGGAAGGGGGGGAUGACGUCAAAUCAGCACGGCCCUUACGUCCGGGGCGACACACGUGUUACAAUGGUGGGUACAGAGGGAAGCUACCUGGUGACAGGAUGCAGAUCCUCGAAAACCCAUCCCAGUUCGGACUGGAGUCUGCAACCCGACUCNNCGAAGUUGGAUUCGCUAGUAAUCGCGCAUCAGCCAUGGCGC
rnacentral:rRNA from 1 species